rnacentral:rRNA from 1 species
CGGGCUCGCUAGUCACACCGAGCGCAGUAGCACAUCUCGCUCAGGGCGUGCGGCGGGCUCCAGCCGUUAAAGCACCCACCUUUCGCAAGGUUGACCUCGGAUCAGGUAGGAAUACCCGCUGAACUUAAGCAUAUCAAUAAGCGGAGGAAAAGAAACCAACAGGGAUUGCCCUAGUAACGGCGAGUGAAGCGGCAACAGCUCAAAUUUGAAAUCCGGCUCCUCGCGGGCCCGAGUUGUAAUUUGUAGAGGAAGCUUUUGGCGCGGCACCUACUGAGUCCCCUGGAACGGGGCGCCAUAGAGGGUGAGAGCCCCGUAUAGUGGGAUGCCUAGCCUUUGUAAAGCUCCUUCGACGAGUCGAGUAGUUUGGGAAUGCUGCUCAAAAUGGGAGGUAAAUUUCUUCUAAAGCUAAAUAUUGGCCAGAGACCGAUAGCGCACAAGUAGAGUGAUCGAAAGAUGAAAAGCACUUUGAAAAGAGGGUUAAACAGCACGUGAAAUUGUUGAAAGGGAAGCGCUUGUGACCAGACUUGCGCCUGGCUGAUCAUCCGGUGUUCUCACCGGUGCACUCUGCCAGGCUCAGGCCAGCAUCGGUUCUCGCGGGGGGAUAAAGGCCCAGGGAACGUAGCUCUUCCGGGAGUGUUAUAGCCCUGGGUGUCACGCCCUCGCGGGGACCGAGGUUCGCGCAUCUGCAAGGAUGCGGCGUAAUGGUCAUCAGCGACC